AGAGUUUGAUUAUGGCUCAGAUUGAACGCUGGCGGCAGGCCUAACACAUGCAAGUCGAGCGGUAGAGAGAAGCUUGCUUCUCUUGAGAGCGGCGGACGGGUGAGUAAUGCCUAGGAAUCUGCCUGGUAGUGGGGGAUAACGUUCGGAAACGGACGCUAAUACCGCAUACGUCCUACGGGAGAAAGCAGGGGACCUUCGGGCCUUGCGCUAUCAGAUGAGCCUAGGUCGGAUUAGCUAGUUGGUGAGGUAAUGGCUCACCAAGGCGACGAUCCGUAACUGGUCUGAGAGGAUGAUCAGUCACACUGGAACUGAGACACGGUCCAGACUCCUACGGGAGGCAGCAGUGGGGAAUAUUGGACAAUGGGCGAAAGCCUGAUCCAGCCAUGCCGCGUGUGUGAAGAAGGUCUUCGGAUUGUAAAGCACUUUAAGUUGGGAGGAAGGGCAGUUACCUAAUACGUGAUUGUUUUGACGUUAUCGACAGAAUAAGCACCGGCUAACUCUGUGCCAGCAGCCGCGGUAAUACAGAGGGUGCAAGCGUUAAUCGGAAUUACUGGGCGUAAAGCGCGCGUAGGUGGUUAGUUAAGUUGGAUGUGAAAUCCCCGGGCUCAACCUGGGAACUGCAUUCAAAACUGACUGACUAGAGUAUGGUAGAGGGUGGGUGGAAUUUCCUGUGUAGCGGUGAAAUGCGUACAUAUAGGAAGGAACACCAGUGGCGAAGGCGACCACCUGGACUGAUACUGACACUGAGGUGCGAAAGCGUGGGGAGCAAACGGGAUUAGAUACCCUGGUAGUCCACGCCGUAAACGAUGUCAACUAGCCGUUGGGAGCCUUGAGCUCUUAGUGGCGCAGCUAACGCAUUAAGUUGACCGCCUGGGGAGUACGGCCGCAAGGUUAAAACUCAAAUGAAUUGACGG
rnacentral:rRNA from 1 species